GCAGUCACGAACUCGCCAGCAGCUAGCAGCACUGACUAGUAGGAGGGCCCGCCGGAGGAGAGGACAUGCUCUGGAGUCAGAAGACAGCGAAAAGAGAAGCAGAAGCCCCGGUGGCAAGAGUCUGAAGCUGGAAAGGAGGAGAACAUGAAACAUUGCUUGAAGACAAUGGCCGAGACAGCAGGUCCCACCCUGCACAGCCACCAGCAUCUCUCCCCUCAGCCCUGUCUCCUCUUCUGCAGUUGGGAUCUGCACAUUUAAGCCUGAAAUUGUCCUGUGAAGUGAAGUAUGAUCGGACAGCCUCUUUUCAGCUUUUAUGACAAUGGAGACAGAGGAAUUGUGGCUCUUGCCAAGGUCACAGGAUUGGAAUACAGAGCCAAGCCACCCCAGGACAUGCAAGAGCCUCAGAAGGGAAAAAAGCCCAGCAGGAAGGGAGAACAAGUAGCCUCUGUCCUGAAGUUGUAACAGCCAGGGGCCAGGAUGGAGGAGGAGGACCCCAUAAUCUGCCCAUCUGGGACUUGGCAGGGGACCUGGGAAAAUGUACCCCAACCCAUCCCUUAAGGGCCUUUGUCUUUGGCCCAUUGGCCUAGCAUCUACUUCUUCACCGUGUCUGUUCUUGUCACACCUAGUCAGGUCUGUUUGGGUCUGAGGUGCAUGGAACAUUCUGGGUAGGCCUCCAGCAAACGGAAGCUCUUCACCGUGUUUCCAGCCUGGGACCAAGGGCAGCAUACUGGCAAAGUUGCCAAAGCAAGGGACUCCAGCCUCUUAGGAGUUAAUGACUCCCUCUCCCCAGCUGUCCUCCCCUUGGUGCUCCUCUUCCUCCCUCCUCCUGCUCACAGCAGGCAGGGCCUAGACCCGGGAGCCAUGCUGCUGUGCUGUUGCCAGGGGAGCACGGAGGCAGAUCUGAGCUAUGCAGGGAAAAGGCCCAGCCUGUCAAAGUGUCUGAGAUGAACCGCCGCCGUCCCUGUGCAGCUGGGCUCAGACGUGUCUCAGCUCUUGUUCUGUGCCUGAGAAUGGCGAAACCCAGUGAGGUUCAAGGGCAAACUCGCUAUUCAUUAGUCAGGGGUUCUUGACGUCCCGUCUCUCCCAGGGAUGAGUUCCCCCCUCCUCUUUCUCCCCCUCCUAUGACACAUUCCUGGGUGCCUUUGGUGAGGACUGCACACCCUCCUCCUGCCUAGCCCCCUCUCCAAAGGCCCCUGAAUAAACUCCCCCCAAGGAGACCAGGCAGGGCAGAGACAAUGGCUGCAGGAAAUCAUUCAGGCGGGACAUGCUGGCCUGCCCUCCACCCAGUCCCCCUGUGGGCCCCACUCCCUUCUGAUUCAGGGCACCCUUGGGCCCCCAGCCUAUACAGGCCUGGACAGGAAGAAACCACUGGGAACCACCCUAAGGACAACAUGCUAGUCCAGUGCCAUUCUUCGCUGGCUCUGUGGGUGCCUUUGUGGCCUGUACCGACUGGCUGGCUAAUUUUGUGGUUUCUGUACCAUCACAUGCCUAUUUUAAGACACUCUCCAGCACUGUCGGUUAGGGAGUGUAAAUUUUGCAAUAUUUUCUGAAAUGUGGCAAUAUCAAAAUGUAAAAGGCACACAUACUUGGUCACAAACAAAUGGCACUAUUUACUCUGUGGGCAUAUUUGUAAAAGUUGCCAAAGAAUUAUAUACAAGGAUGUUCAUCAGAGCAUUUCUUUUGAAGAGUAAAGAAAUGGACAUGAACCUGUGGUCCGUUCAUACGGUGGAAUACCUAUGCAGCUGUAAAAAUCAGUGUGGUAGAUCUCCGUAUAUGAGUUGAUGUGGAAGGUUGGCCAGUUCACAUGAUAAGGUGAAUAGAAUAAGUUACAGAACAGGCUGUAGAGUAUGAUCUUAUUUGUAGAUGUUUAAAACUGAGUCAUAAGUAUGCUUAUAUACAGAUCGUUUCUGGAAGUAUGUACUGGAAGUCUACCUCUGGGGAGUGGGGAUGGGGGAGUGCACUCUUCUAUACUGUUAUAUUUUCUUUUCAUGCUCCUAAGGUACUUUUAUUGGAAGAUGUAAAGCGGUUCAAUGUAAUAGGCUUAACUUCUGUCAACUAAGUUGGCGUGGGUGCUUUAAGAGGGUGGUAGUGAUGUUGCUGGAGAAAGUAUCCCACAGUCACUGGUGGCUUCAGCCACGGGCCAUUUUGGGGCCUAAUAAUCACAUAUCAUCAUGGUUGCUAGUGUUAAUCGAAAACCUACUAAGUGCCAGGCUUACUGUCUCUGGGUCUUGCUUACGUGGAUGUCAUUUUUCCAGUUGCACCAAAUCGAAAGAGGUUAAUUGGUUUGUUGGAGUUCCUUUGUAGGUGAAGGGCAGAGCCAGGAGCUUGGCUAGGGACAGGGGAGGUGAGUGGGGGAUGGUGGAUAGGUCUUGGCUCCCAGUUUCCUUCUGGGCAGACAUUGCCCCUCUGCCCUGAGGACCUGCUUGUUUGGGGGAAGAGGCCUUUAGAGGCACCAGGGUCAUGCCAGGUGUUGGACAUGGUGAACUGGGAAGUGCUCCCAUCUGGCCACAGCGCAGAAGUAUCACCGUGCUGGGGGAUGGGGAACAGGGCUGUGAAUGGGCCUAUUUGCAUAAGCAGCAUGUGUCUGGAGAGAAAGACAUCACAGAGCAGAAGAGUGCGGGUGCCCAGGAGUGCACUUGCCACCCCUACUUCAUCCCUGAAAGAGUAAAUGGCCUGGAAGGUGUCUCUGAGAGGUAAUGCCGCACACCACCCUCCCUGGGGGCAGGGUCAGGCUACACCUGCCUUAGGUCGGGGGCUGCAGCAGCCUGAGAGCUCUCAGUAGGGCCUCAGUAGCCUGGGAGGGAGCAGGGGCAGGGGGCAGGGAAAGAGGCGUAAUGGGGCUGUCCAGAGGGGCCUGGGAAACCUGGUCCCUGAGGCCUGGGCACAGCUACAAUCACUUCAAAUUGGCUGUGGGGCCAGUGGACUGGGAAGGAAAAAAGCAAUAAGAGUGACCAAGUGCAGAAGGCUGUCAGGUCCCAGGUCACAUGCCUUAGUGCAGUGACUCCUCAUCAUUUUAUGGGGUGUGGGUGUCGUUGGUACACCCAUUUUACAGAUGAGGACACCGAGGCCCAGAAAAGUUAAGUUACAUGUCCUAAGUCACACAGCUUGUAAGUGCCAGAACUGAGAUCAAAACCAAGUCUCUUUGACUUUAAAGUCUGUACUCUGACCCCAAAGAGAUCCUGUUUGGCCACUUAUAGGAGGUCCCUAAAGCUGCAGACUCCCCUUGCCGGCACCCACAUAUAGAGACAUUAACCCUUCCCCUGCAGGGUCACCUCAAAUAGUCUUUUAGCUGGGCUUCUCCUGCAAUUCCACCUAAUGCCAUCCCCUGGGUUUUGCCCAAACCUGAACUGGGCAGUGGGGUGAGAGGAGGGGUUUACAGGGUUACAGAGCCUCAUACAGAUAGGAGCCCAUGGCUGCUGGUCAUCUGCAUUCCUGCAGGAUUGGCUGUUCCUUGGGGUCCUUGGCAGGAAAAUGAGGAUUGCUCCGAGGCCUGCUCCAGUACUUCCCAGAGGCUGGCCUGGUGUGGGGCUCUGGGAAGGCUGAGGCUGGAGAAGCGUAAGUAGGAGGGCAGAGAUGGCACUCAGGUAGCUUGAAUCACCAGGACCCUUCCAAGCCCCACAGGUUCUGAGGGAGUACUAGGGCCAGCUCUGGGAGAGGUCUCUUCCUAUGCUGUGAACCCCCUGCCUUUCUUGCAGCCUACAACGAAUAAAUUUUCUUUGCAAAGG
rnacentral:lncRNA from 1 species